GCGCCAGUAGCUCAGCCGGAUAGAGCAACGGCCUUCUAAGCCGUGGGUCAGGGGUUCGAAUCCCUUCUGGCGCGCCA
rnacentral:tRNA from 1 species